rnacentral:rRNA from 1 species
UACGUAGGGUGCAAGCGUUAAUCGGAAUUACUGGGCGUAAAGCGUGCGCAGGCGGUGAUGUAAGACAGUUGUGAAAUCCCCGGGCUCAACCUGGGAACUGCAUCUGUGACUGCAUCGCUGGAGUACGGUAGAGGGGGAUGGAAUUCCGCGUGUAGCAGUGAAAUGCGUAGAUAUGCGGAGGAACACCGAUGGCGAAGGCAAUCCCCUGGACCUGUACUGACGCUCAUGCACGAAAGGCGUGGGGAGCAAACAGG